UGUGCAGGGUCUAAUGGAGGGCAGUACAUGCAGGAAAGGUGCGUGAAGGGUAUCACGGAGGGCAGUAUGUGCAGGAUAGGAGUAUGGAGGGUAUAACAGAAGGCAGUACUUGCAAGAAAGGAGUGUGGAGGUUAUAUCAGAGGGCAGUACAUGCAGGAGAGGAGUGUAGCGGAUAUAACAG